GGGGGUAUAGCUCAGCUGGAUAGAGCACCGGCCUUCUAAGCCGACGGUCGCAGGUUCGAAUCCUGCUACUCCCGCCA
rnacentral:tRNA from 2 species